UCAUGUUGGAGGUAGGUGUGUGUGGGGGCGGGGUGGGGACAACUGGAAUAUGAGCAGGAGGAAGAAGUGCCCGGGAGAAAGCAUCUGCAUCCGGCAUGCAGUCAAGGUGCAUGUCGGACAGCCUAUAGUGCUAGGCAGAAGCUGGGUCCCAAAUGGUUAUACAGAACUUUUGCAAAGUGACCAGUGGGGCCUUCACUGGGGAGAUCAGUCCUCAUAGAAUCAAAGACAUAAGAGCCACGAGGGUAGUGCUGGGGCACUCAGAAAGAAGGCACGUCUUUGGGAAGUCGGACGAAUUGAGUCAUGCCCCAGCAGAGGAUGUUUGUCCUCCCUGAAGAGAAGUUAAGACAAAAGGGAAGCUGGUGACAGAGAGAAGACUGUUUUCCAGCAAACCAAGAUCAUCACAGGUAAUGAAAAGAACUAAAAUUUUUAU
rnacentral:lncRNA from 1 species